UACGUAGGGUGCAAGCGUUAAUCGGAAUACUGGGCGUAAAGCGUGCGCAGGCGGUUUUGUAAGUCAGAUGUGAAAUCCCCCGGGCUUAACCUGGGAACUGCGUUUGAAACUACAAGGCUAGAGUGUGGCAGAGGGGGGGUGGAAUUCCACGUGUAGCAGUGAAAUGCGUAGAGAUGUGGAGGAACACCGAUGGCGAAGGCAGCCCCCUGGGUUAACACUGACGCUCAGGCACGAAAGCGUGGGGAGCAAACAGG
rnacentral:rRNA from 1 species